AACGUCAAGCAAAGCACAACAACAUCCACUCCCCACACUCAGCUGCAGACGCUGACACGCGGCUCCCUUGGGACUCAGGCAACUGAAGAGACACCCGGUCAGGGGCUGGGGUUUGCUCUGCAACCACCUGGGGCAGGAGGAGGCCCUGCGUCUUGUGGGCUUGCUGCCCUGUCCCCCUGGAACAGGAGGCCGAUCGCUGACCAGGCUGAGAGGUCACUACCUCCUGUGAUGGGACAGUCCAUGACGCCGACACUGCAAAGCAAACCAGGGCACACGCUGGUCACCCCCCAGCCCCACAGGCCAGGUGCUUCCUGGACGGCCAGCGGUCACAGCAAAGCCCAGGCGGGUGUCCAGCCAACACCUUCUCAGGAGGGCCCCGGGCCCAGGAAUUCUCCCCGCCACGCUCUCCAGAGGAAGCUGGGGGUCUCCUGAGUCACCACACCACGUGCACGCGGGCAGCAGCUAGUGUGGCAGGAGUGCGGGUGGAGCCAGCCGGGUGGCAUUUGGGGAGUGUCCUCUCUCCACCUUCUCCAGAGGCCAGGACUGUUCAGCUGGCUGCGGAACUACUCAUGGACCCUGGACGUGCAUGGGAACCUGUCAGUGGUCAUGAGGAGCCUUUGGGCCUAAGACCCAUCAGCAAGGGUUGGGGUGGGGGAGGGGGCAGGCGGCUGAGGAAAAGGUGGCACCUCGGUCCACACCCCUGGCCCGGCCCAGGCCCAGGCUAACCCGAGGGGCCCUCCAAGGUCCUGGCUACCUGCCUCUCCCCUGCCUGCCCGCGGGGGCUCUUGGGCUCCUCAGGCCCUGCUCAGCUCUUACCAACGUCAGGAGGGCUGGCGCCCAGCACAUUGGGGGACACUCUGCUGGACGUGCAAAAGCAGCGUGGCUUCUGCAGCUCUUCCCACCCUCACAGAGGGCUCCAGAGGGGUCACCAGGUACGGACACUGAUCAAGCAUGCAAAAUAUUCAAAGGACGUGGGCCACAGGGUGGACAGCACCGUGAGGUGGACUUUGGACUCAGUACAAAGGUGAGUAAAGGCUUACAACCAACCCAGAUGCGCAGAGGCCGCCGGGAGGAGGGAGCUUCCAGGCCCUGAGGCCAUUCCAGCUCAGGAGGACCACGGCCCUGGACACACGAGUCAGCCUGUCUUCCUUGCCCCAUGGUCACUAGCAGGGGACAGCUGUGUAUGCCAAGUACCCCGCCUGCCUCUAAGGGACCAACCAGCACUUUCUAGAGACGCCCCAGCCCCAGGGCAGGACGAGCGGACUCCUCAGGGGAAGGUGGAGAGGAACUUGAGGUCGCCUGGGGUGUCCAGAGCACCAGCUGCCACCAGCCGGGGGGAAGGCCAGGAGGUUGGCAGGGGCCCUCCACUGCAGGGAUGGACCCAGGCCACCGAGCGAGCGCACACAGGGUAGGGAGAGUUCAGGUCAACCCAGCCCAGCCCAGUGCCCAGCAGGACGGGUCCUCCCGUGAACCCCUGGGGCCAGGUGUGGACUUUGGAAGGAACCUGAGAGGUGGUGACUGCUCAGCUGGUCCCUGCAGACAGAGGAGGGGGGACAGGAAAGAAUGAACAACCAGGGAAAAGGCGGAGAAGGGAAGUGGAGUGGCCGGCUCUGUGGGGUCCUCGGUGGGAACUGACCCCCACGGUGCUCAGGACCUGCAGAGCAUCCCACCAGCGAGGUCCACACCAUGGCUGUCCCCCACAUCCCACAAUGCAGCGAGGGCAGGAGCACUCUCUGCAGGAGUCACCGUCACACCCAGGACUCUCCACUACACCGUCCUCCGGGUGGAGGGCAGGGUUGGGAUGGGGAAGGUGGGCACUUGGUGGAGGUGCCGAGAUGAGAGAGGUCAGGAGGGGCAGACUGGCUUGGGGGACCCCGCAGAGAGCCCGGCUCCUCCAGGCGGCAGGAGGGGACCGUCAAGUGUCAUUCCUGGAACCCAACUGAAUACAGAGCUGGCACUGGACGCCUACCACGGGGAUGAACAGGGCCUCGAUGGGCCUGGGAGGGGCCGAGGAAGGACAUUUUCCUGGUUCAAGUUACGAGUUUUAGACAGAAAAAAUGUGAGUGCUGUGAGGGGGGCUGUCCCACCCGCCGGCUCCGUCCACUGGUGAGUGACCAAGUGAACCAGCGGGCAUGUGGGCUCUAAGAUGGGACACCGAGGGGGGUCUGGGCUGGGGGUGACGAGCACACCUGUGGCCACGAGCCAGCUGGACCUGACCGCGGGGGGAGAUCAACAGAACUGAGGGGGCAGGUGGCAGGGAAGGGCCGGGUAGGGCUGCGUCACCCCGUGGGACAGGGACCCCAUCCACAGGAUCAGAGCAGCCAGACGGGGCUCGCACGGGGGUAGGCCCCGGGUCACUGGGUGACCAACCAUCCCAGCUGGCCCAGGACAGAGGGGUUUUCCAUGACGUGGGGCUCUCAGUGCUAAAACCGGGCAGGCCUUGGGCGCAACAGGACGAGCUGGUCACCCUAAGUACCCGCAGGUCCCCCCGGCCAGGUCUGCAGGGAACAAGAUCAUCAAUCACCAACCAGGUUUCUAAGGUGCCUCAGACUGUGCCCAGCCACCGCCAGCAGCCACCGUGAGCAGCGCCGGCCGGCAUGGCGCACUCACCCAGCAGGGGAGAGGCCAGAGGCAGCCACCCGCACGGAGGUCCCACGCAGGUGAGCAGCAAGGCCAGGCUGAGCUCACCCUCGGCCUCCGCCUGUCCACACACACGUGGAUGCCCGGGAGGGGCACCACAGGCUGAGCACUGUCGUCCUCCAGGGCUGGCGGCACCCAGAGGACAGCAGAGGCCUGGUCCUCACGGGAGGACUCGGAGGCCCAGGGACGGGGAGCAUCUGGCCCUCUGCUCUCUGUCACUGGGGAACAGGGGGCCACCAGCUGGAGGAUGGCGGGGUCUCUGCUGCCCCCCACCAUCACCAGGACGGCCACCCCUGGGGUGAGGCUGGGAUUGGAGAAGGUGCCCUGUGAGGGGCAGGCGGCUCCUCCCACCCUGGAAGGCCCUGGGCAACCGGCUCUUGGCAGCUGAGCAGGGAAAAGACGGGGGCGCAGGGAGAUCGGGGAAGUGGGGCUGGGAGGGGCUCGGUGGCAGAGCGUCUGCCUGGCAGGCAGGAGGACCUGAGAGAGAGGGGGCGGGGGGACAGUCCCGUGGAAGGGCCAAGGAGCCAUGAUCCGGCCGCAAACUCGGCUUCACCUUGGGCCCCAGCCUGGCCCGGCCCAGAGACCCCAGUUCUCUGCAGAGAAUUUGCAUCUGUGACAAGUUCUCAGGGGCCACUGAGUGGCUGGUUCCCUGGCAGCACAUCUGGACCCCCACUGGCCAGGCUGCUCUGGCUGUGGGGACAGGGGCCUGAAGGCCCAGGCAGGCCGCGGGCGGUGCUGGAGACCUGUCUGGAAUGCAGGUGCUCAGGGCUGUCCCCAGAGCCUCCCGAGUGCCCAGUCUAUGGGGCCAGGAAACAUUCUAGAAACAAGCUCCUGAGUGAUUCAGGCGCAGGUGGCCCAGGGGCCAUGCAUGGAAGCCUCAGGGGCCGCGAUGGCAAAACAAACAUCUCGCUCUUACCAACGGGGAGGAGCUAUAGAACUAUUUUUUGGCUGAUUCAAGUCCUGAUUCAAGGCCACCUCUGACAUGAAGAAUCCCAGCCACUUGGGGCCUUUUACAAUUAAAGAAAAUUUAAAAUUCUGUU